rnacentral:misc_RNA from 1 species
AAGUCGUAACAAGGUUUCCGUAGGUGAACCUGCGGAAGGCCCCUUCAGUGCGCUCGCACUUUCUUAGAAAAGGUAGCAAUCCCUGGUAAAUCAUUGCCGAACAGUUUUGAUUCAGGGACUUCUGCGUAGACUGUGCUUGAGCGUGAGGCAAGUGGCCUGGCAUUCCUCUGCCGUGUCGGCCUCUAGCGAUCGUGACUGCGCCAUUCGUACAGAGCUGGUGACACUUUCAGACACUGGGCGCGAGCCCCCCUCGUCACCUUUGCAUGAAAACGGGCCUGCGCUUAAUUGUGCGGCCACCAAACUCGAACAACUGUUAACAAUGGAUAUCUUGGUUCUC